UGGGGAAUUUUGGACAAUGGGCGAAAGCCUGAUCCAGCCAUGCCGCGUGAGUGAAGAAGGCCUUCGGGUUGUAAAGCUCUUUUAGUCGGAAAGAAAGAGUUACAAUGAAUAAUUGUGAUUUAUGACGGUACCGACAGAAAAAGCAACGGCUAACUACGUGCCAGCAGCCGCGGUAAUACGAAGGGUGCGAGCGUUAAUCGGCAUUACUGGGCGUAAAGGGUGAGCAGGCGGUCUUUUAAGUCAGAUGUGAAAGCACCGGGCUUAACCUGGGAAUUGCGUUUGNAACUACAAGGCUAGAGUGCAGCAGAGGGUGUUGGAAUUCCAUGUGUAGCAGUGAAAUGCGUAGAGAUGUUGAAGAACACCGGUGGCGAAGGCAGCUCCCUGGGUUGACACUGACGCUCAUGCAAGAAAGCGUUGGGAGCAAACA
rnacentral:rRNA from 1 species